GUGCAACUGAUUCCUCAACUCCGUGGUUUGUUAGCUGCAAACGAAGAAUACUCUAGUAAAUUCGAUACACACAGUCCCGUAGACAGAUCAACGGAGUAUAUCUUCCAGUGCAGAUAGUUUUUGGGCGAGUGAAUUGUAAAAAACAUCGACACUUCAGGCUAGGUUUACAGGAACCAUAUAUUUACGGAAUUGUGUCAAAAAACACUACUUUCUCUGUUCAUUUUUGUAAGACGUUUAAGACAGCUGAAAUUGAACUGUUUUGGGUGUUGUCUUAAAUGCCUAAAAUGUCUUACAAAAGUGAACGGAGGGAAUAAUUUUUUUCAUAUUUUUUUUAAAAAAAACACUAGUCACUGGCUUAGACCGUUUUGAGCACGAUUAUGACAGGUGGGUCCUGCCAGAAGGGAUGACGUGGCACAACAUAACGGUUCGCAAAUAGACAGAAUAACAGGGACUGAUUUGGAAAAGAGCCUGAGAGGAUAAGGUCAUCUCCUCAGCUGUGCGCACGAGCUCCCGGCCGGCGAGCUCGGCAUGGACGACGGCUCCGCGACGCCCCGCCUCCUUCUCCUUCUCCUCCUCUAUUCCCCCGCCCCCACCUUCCUCCCACUCCCCGGCCUCGGCCUCCCCUUGUUGCUCACAUGCAUCGGCUCCGGCGAGGAGAAGAGGAUGCGCGACGGCGGCCCGCGUAGGCGUGAAGAGGAGGCGCGACAACGACGGCCAUGGAUGAGCUCCGGCCGGAGCUGUGCAUCAGCGGGGCAAAUCCACUAACGGUGGGCAUGGAGGUGCGGUCCAUGUCCCUCGACCGUGAGCUCCUCUGCCGGCGGUGCCCUCCCCUAUCUCUCCCAUCUCUCUCUCUGAGGUCGGUGCCUUCCUCAAUCUCUCCCAUCUCUCUCUGAUGCGUGCCUGAUGCUCAAGCCGACGGCGCCGGAGCUCAAUCAUGGCUGCUCGAUGCCCAAGCUGGAUCAGCCGGAGCUCAUCCAUGGCCGCUGAUGCUCAAGCCGCCGCUGGAGCUCCGUUGCCUCGCCGUCCUAACCGACACCGCCGCUGGAUCCACGCCCUCUUGCCCGUCCCAGACAACGCCGGACCUCCCCUGUGCCCCGCCGCCGGCGUCCACCACCGGGGCGGUGAGAGAUGAAGGUCACGAUCUCACGGAGAGGACCCGAUUGCUUUUUUUUUUCUCAGGGUCCUUUUGCAAAAAAAUUGUAACGGGAUGUAAUUGACUAUUUUUUUGCCACGUCACCCCUUCUGGUGGGACCCACCUAAUAAUCGUGCUCAAAACGGCCUAAGCCAGCGACUAGUAUUUUUUUGCAAAAAAAUUAUAAAAAAAUUAAUGUUUUUUGGCACAAUUCCGUAAAUUUGUGGCUCCUGCAAACCUAGCCUAAAGUGUUGAUGUUUUUUGCAAUUCACUCGUUUUUGAGCCCCCGCUUUCAGUGCCAAAACUUUGCAAAAAUUCAGGGGAAAUCCUUCCUUUUGCCCGACUGAUUUUCUACCCGAAAUCAACCGCCUCAAAGGAUCGCCACGUGUCCCCGUGUGGGCGCAGGAAUUGCUCAACCUCCUCUGCCUUAUCUCAUGCAGCGAAGCCCCUCCACUCGUUCUUCUUCCACCCACACGCGUUGACUACAUCCUUUUGGACGUCGCCGGCAUGUCUUCACACGCUCCUCCGCCACUACUCCCUCGCUCAAGCUGACUUGCGCUGCAUGGACUACAACGAGAGCACCGUUGCUACAAAACCACGCUGCAGUGCUUUGAGUGGAGGAAAAACAUUUUUACGAGCGCCUCGACACCAGUGCGAGUUGACGUUCGCCGGUGCUCGCGGGAGGUGACGGCAGGUGGUGAGAUGUCGCGGCGGACGCUGCUGCGAACGAACGGGACUGCAACCAGGGGCUCUCCGGUGCUACCAUGGAGCAUCCUCCGGCCGCCGUUUGCUGUGACGGAGCAUCGUCAGAACGCCAGAGCUUCACGGUGCUGCGAUGGAGCAUUUGUCGUGAGACCUUUUACGUAUUUUUGAGACAGAAGGGUAAAUUUGGCAUGUUCAAUUCCGCUGGCGGACAUGGCAACCGGCGCCGCUGCUCCCGUACGUCGUUUCCUGGAGAGAUGUGCACUGGUACUGGCUAGUACGUAGCAGAUCAACUUAGCAGCUAGCUUCGUAUGUGAGUUCAUCAAGGAUUCCUGGAGAUCAAUUUGUAUGUUUGUCUGUAUCUCGACUAUUCCACCUGCCAGGUUGCUUUGGGAGAUCAGCUUGUACGUUUGUGUGUGUCUCUCGAUCAAAAGCAUCGGCAAAUCAAGUCGUACAAGUA